CUCUUUUUGUUGCAGGAGUUCCUUUAUAGCUGCCAUCUGGUCAGGGCCUGAAGCAGCUGCAAUCUCUUUCAUUUGGUUGAUAUGACUCUCUUUCUCCACAAGUGCUGCCUCCAAUUCUUUCUGGGUGUUGGAACAUUAAUUAUUUGGAACUGCAAAUCUUGGCGUGUAAAGUUUUUUUGGUUCGAUGUCGCAUUGGCAUCUGUGUUCUGGGACCACAUGGCAGUGUGACAAUGGAAUGACUGAUCCUCAAGCACACCUCAAAUUCUCAGUUUUUCAUAAGCCCCGGUACUGAAUAACAGGAGUAAAGUCAGUUAAGGUGGUUGGAGGUUUGGACUACUUCAGGUUUCAGUCAACGAAUCAUUAAAGUGGGAAAUCGCAUCCAUACCUCCAGGAGGACUUGGAGGGAAAUGAGCUGCUGUUCACGUUCCUGGAGGAGGAUGGAGAAGACGCGCCGCUCCUUCAUCUUGUGCAGGAUGCCAACGCUCAGCAUGGCAGCGCCGAUGGCCA